rnacentral:tRNA from 1 species
GAGGGUGUAUCUCGAUUGGCAGAGCGCUUGCCUGGCAUGCCUGAAGCACUAGGUUUGAUUCCUAGCACUGUCU